rnacentral:lncRNA from 1 species
GUUGUUGUUGUCUGGAGACAGAAAAUUGUUCUUUUUGGAGCGCUUCAGUCGAGCAGCUUUUAUGUAUCUUUUCAGCUUUUUCUUUUUGCAAAUAUCAGUGCUGAGGAUCUCUCUCGGGCAGCCUAAAUCAUCAGAAAUGUCUACAAACAUUUAAACGCAGCCAUCAGCGAGUGUGUUUUUCAGAGAGGCUGGGGACCGGCACAGGGAGACCCAGACCCGGGGCCUCCUAUGGCUACAUUGAUUAGCCAUUACUACGAAGGAUCUUGCCUAAGAAACAACACUGAAUUAAGGUCUUUCUCCCUUUUUUUCCUCUUCUUGACAAGAAGUCUUGUGAAAGUUGGCAUGUACACCUGGACCAGAGAACUCUUGUGUAUCCUUCCCUGGACUUUCAAAAGUUCCUCUGUCGUUCAGGAGGAGAUAAAAAUGGGAUCUGAAACAGAAUGAAAUAUUUUUUUUUUAAUAAAGAGCAGUUAAAUCUCAGAUAAAAACGGGGACACUGCUCUUAUAGCCACAGUUAGAAGCAAACCUUCAUCAUACUUCAGUGCCCCAGUGUAAAACCAUAAAUUAGCUUUGAGACAUAUGGGUAAACACCUACAGUAAACAAUAAAACACCAUGAUGGGUUCAUUCAUCUUCUUGGCUGCUUUGUCCCUUUUGGGGUCAUGGGGGUGCAGAAGCCUAACCUGGCUACUGAUUGGCAAAGGCAG